rnacentral:rRNA from 1 species
GACGAACCGUGCAAACGUUAUUCGGAAUCACUGGGCUUAAAGGGCGCGUAGGCGGGCUCCCAAGUCGGUGGUGAAAUCUUUCGGCCCAACCGGAAAAGUGCCGCCGAUACUGGGAGCCUCGAGGGAGGUAGGGGUCGAGGGAACUCUAGGUGGAGCGGUGAAAUGCGUAGAUAUCUGGAGGAACGCCGGUGGCGAAAGCGCUCGACUGGACCUCUUCUGACGCUGAGGCGCGAAAGCUAGGGGAGCAAACGGG